UGGCCAUAUUAUGCUGUAAACACCGGUUCUCGUCCGAUAACCGAAAUUAAGCAUCGUCGGGCGCGGUCAGUAAUUGGAAGGGUGACA